CUCACCAGGAGGACCCACCGGCUCAUCCCUAUCCACAGCUUCAGGCAGAGCUAUGAGGCCAAGAGUGCUCACGCACACCCGACUUUCUUUUUGGAAUUCAAGGAGCUGAAGGAGGUGGGCAAGGAGCAGCCCAGGUUGGGGACUGAGCACCCUCCCAACACCACCAAGAACCAUUACCCACAUGUGCUACCCUAUGACACCUCCAGGGACAGGCUGACCUAGCUGGAGGGAGAGCCCCACUCUGACUACAUCAAUACCAACUUUAUUCCAG